UGGUGGGUCAUGAGGUGGG
rnacentral:misc_RNA from 1 species